CAAUUACAAAUACAUUUAAUUCAAUAUAAAAAGAUAAAAUCAUUAAUUUGUGAGAAAUAUUUGUGACAACAAUAUAAGUAAGACAUAGUUUUAAAAUUCCACUGAAAUUUCCUGAUAUCAUAACAAACAUGUAAAGUAAAAUGGAUGCCCCUAUCACACUAUCAUUGUCUAUGUUCUGUGGACCGUGAAAAGAGGGUCAAAACUUUAAUUUGGAACUAAGAUUAGAAAGAUCAUAUCAUAGGGAACAUGUGUACUAACUUUCAAGUUGAUUGGUCUUCAACUACUACAAAAACUACCUUAAUUAACCAUAAACUUUAAUCUGAAGCGGGACAGACAGAUGAACAGACAGACGAAUGAAUGAACAGAUGGCCGCUCAAACCAGAAAACAGAAUGCCCAUAAAUGAAACAUAAAAAUGAACGAAAAACAAAUAUGUAAUCGAGUUUUUGCUCUUUGGUCGGGUUGUUGUCUCUUUGACACAUUACCCAUUUCCAUUCUCAAUUGUAAAAUCCACCUUCUCAGUGAUAAAGUGGUCAAUAAUACAAUAAAGAUAUGCUUUAAUCAGAUAAUGGAAAUUUCAUUGGUAUUUUUAAUCUCAUUGUAAAAAAGGUCUAAUAAAUUUAUUUGAGGACUCUCCUCUUCUCACGGUGACAUAACAUAUUAAAUUUCACUGGUCUUUUUUUUAGAAUUUUGUUUCUCCAGCAAUUAAAUAUUUAUUUAUGAAUCAUCUGUAAAUACGCAACAAAUUUAAUUGCUGGAGAAACAAAAUUCUAAAAAAAGACCAGUGAAAAUAUAUUUAUUCAUAUAUGAUUUAUGCUUUCUUCAAAACACUUUUUUUAACACUGCUGACCACAGUAAAAUAAUUGUAGCUUAUUUAUAAAACUUAUUAAGCAAACCAAAAAUAUUCUGAAACAAGAAAAAAGUUAAUAAAAACAAC
rnacentral:lncRNA from 1 species